UACGUAGGGUGCGAGCGUUAAUCGGAAUUACUGGGCGUAAAGCGUGCGUAGGCGGUUCGUUAAGUUCGUUGGUGAAAGCCCCGGGCUCAACCUGGGAAUGGCAAUGGAAACUGGCGGGCUGGAGUAUGGCAGAGGGGGGUGGAAUUCCGCGUGUAGCAGUGAAAUGCGUAGAGAUGCGGAGGAACACCGAUGGCGAAGGCAGCCCCCUGGGCCAAUACUGACGCUCAGGCACGAAAGCGUGGGGAGCAAACAGG
rnacentral:rRNA from 1 species